rnacentral:lncRNA from 1 species
AAGUUGGAUCUGGGAUUUAAAUCCAAAGUGUUUGACUCCAUACUCUGCGCACUGACUUUGUUACUCCAAUAUAGAUCGGGCAGCAAGCCAGACAAAAAUCCCAGCUUCAGUUUCUGGCUCAUGAGGUUGACCAACAAUAUUUAAGUUAAAAUCAGUGAGCAGGAUGGUAGAACACAGGACUUAGCAAAUCAGAUUUCCUAUCAGACUGGUGGUUUAUACUGUUUCUAUGAUAUGGGUAAGUUGCUGGCUCAUUAAAUUUCUCAGUUUCUAUUCUUUUGUUUGUUUUCCAACAAGGACUACAGUCAUUUAUGCUAUUGCUCUUUUGUUUCAUUCAUUAAAUAAUAAUAAUAAUAAUAAUAAUAAUAAUAAUAAUAAUAAUGAAAUGAAGUGGCACAUUGGAAGUAGGACUAUUAUUUCAUGUCAUUGCCCUUCUAAUGGCAGGUAGUCUUUAAGAAUGGUCUUUCCCAGGCCUAGCAGGCCAGUUGGUGUAAUAACUACCUUUGAAUUCAGAAUUUUAGACACAGUCACUAUAAUGAGCAAGGUCAACCAGAUGUCUGUUUAAUGAUGGUCUACCAGAUGCUGAUUGGAUAGUGAUUAGUCACAUGGAAGGAUGGGUAAGAUCAAUUGGAAAAAGAUUCAGAUUUACAGAGAUGCUUAAACUUUGUAUGUUUGUGGGAUGUGUUUAGUAGUCAGUUUGGGAGGAAAGAGAGCCAGGGAGAAGCCUGAAAAUAUAUACAUAUUCCCAUUCAUAUGAAUUCUCUCUCUCUCUCUCUGUCUGUCUCUUUCAUUUGUCAUCUGAGAAUCCCAACCUUAGACAUCUCAGAGUCCAGCAACAACCUGAACUUUAAGAUCAUUUCCAGUCUUGGGAGAUUUAUUUGGGAUGUUCUGAAAUUACUAUGAGCUUUCCAGGAACUCCCUAGCCAAGAAAACAUGACUAGGAUCUGACAUUGCACAGUUUGAUCUGAUGAGCCCUAGAGUCCUAAGUCAUUUUGACAUUACUUCUAACAUACAGUUUGAUAAAGGAGAAGAGAAUGGUACAACCCAGAUAGCAUCUUAGAAACUCACACAAUUAGAUUCAUAACUCCAUUUUCUGAAGAACUAUAAGGUAAAUGGAGAAAGAGAAAGGGACUCCUUCCUUCUACAUUGGAAUAGAAAUCCAAAUCCAAACUAACUAGACUGCUUACUAGCAAUCCUAGAAUCAAGCUAAUUCAUUGUUUUACUUAAGUACCAUCAAAAUAAGCAUCAUAAUAGAAAGAAGGAGGACAUAGAGAAAAGAGAAGCAAAGAAAAAAGCCGAUCAACUAGGAUGUGAAACUUGGAAGGACUGUAAUUAAAGAAGAUUUCAAAGCUGAAGUGAGCAUUUGAUGAGAGUAUUCAUUCUCAGUCUUGGGGAACACAAAAAUAUCUGGGAAUGUUCACACAAAAAUCUAUACAUGAAUGUUUAUAGAGGCUUUAUUUGUAGUUGCUGGAAACUGGGAGAAAAAAACAUUCCUCAGUUGUGGAACAAAUAAACAAACCAUGGUACAUCCAUACAACAGACAAUAAAAAGGAAUUGUAUUAGUCUGCUUUGCAUUGCUAUAAUGGAAUACCUGAGACUGGGUAAUUUAUGGAGAAAAGAGGUUUAUUUGGCUCACAGUUCUGCAGGCUGUACAAGAUGUAUGGCAUCAACAUCUGCUUGGCUUCCAGUGAGGCCUCAGGAAACUUGCACUCAUAAUAGAAAGAGGCAUGUCACAUGGUGAGAGAGGGAACAAGAGAGAGAGAGGGGAGGGAGGUGCCAGACUUUUUAACAAUCAGAUGUUGUGGUAACUAGUAGAGCAAGAACUCAUUCAUUAUUGUAGGGAGGGCACCAAGACAUUCAUGAGGGAUCUGUUCCCAUGACCCAAACACCUCCUAGUAGGCUCUGCCUCCAAUAUUGGGGAUCACAUUUCAACGUGGAUUUGGAGAAGACAAACAUUCAAACUUAUAUCAGGAACAAACUACUAAUAUAUACAAUAACACAAAUGAAUCUCAAAUGCAUAAUGCUAGUGAAAAGAAAAGUCAAAUUUCGCAUAGUUCAUUUAUAAGACAUUCCAGAAAAGGUAAAACUCGAGGGACAGACAACAGUUUACUGGUUAACAGAAGCUGAGAAUGGUGGGAAGCACUGACUACAAAAUAGCAUGGGGGAAUUUUUUGGAGUGAUGCAAGUAAUUUACAUCUUGAUUGUGGUGGUAGUUACAUGAAUAUAUCUUCAUUAAAACUCACAAAAUUGUACAUUAAAAAGUGUAAAUUUUGUUGCACAUAAAUUAUAUCUUGAUAGAAAACAGUCACCUGGGAAAUUUUUUUAAAUAGCAGUGCCAGGGCCUAUGGUAGACCAAUUAAAUCAGAAUCUCGAGGGGCACUGGUAAUUUUUUUAAGCUUCCCAGUUAAGAAUGCCUGAGAUAGAGUGGGGAAAGGUGGGUGGGGGCUCAGGGACAAUUAGAUCGACUAUCACAAACACAGACUCUUCCUAAGGUUGAAGACUUCUUAAGUGGAGUAGGCUCCAGGACCCCAUGGAACUCCAGCUUUCUUGACAGGACAUAGUGUAGUAUCCCUGUCUUCCCAUGGGAGGCAUUCUUGGAGACCCAUUAUUUAAACAAAACUCCUCCUGUAUCUACCACUGACAGCAUCCUAGAGGCUCAAAUCUUCACAAGGAAUCAAAUCAAGUAUAACAACAUUUAGGUUUGAAGCCUCUGAAUUGGUUUAUGCUAGAAAAAGAUUCAAGGUGGGGGGCCCAAUCCCAAUAUGGUAGAAAAAGAUGCAGGGUAGGAAGGCCUAACAAUUCAGGGAAAAAAAAUCUCCAUACAACCCUAGAGAUAUUUUUCUCUACCAUAAACAGCCUUUAAAGAUUAUGACAGGUCAAUAUCAUUACAGAUGUAAAAAGCUGCUUCAGCUUUCUGAAAGCUUUGUCCAUCACUGAAGUCUCAUUAAAGUGUUACUGCUUCUUGAGUUCAAUAAUUAUAAAUAUUUAUAAAUAAUUAUUUAUAAAUAAUUUUAAUAAUUUAUAAAUAAUUCAAAAAUUAUAAAUAAUUAUAAAUUAUACAAUUUAUAAUUAUUCAAUGGAAUAAUUAGAGCAGUUCACUACUCUGAAUUUGUACCCAUAAAACUCAGUUUUUUGGAAGGACUCUAUGUGGAGAAGCUACUUAAACAAGAGAAAGCAUGCAUGAGCUUGUGCAAAAUGGCCCAGACAUGAGUUGCUAUCAGUGAUGUCUCUCUGGGCCAGGUGAGUUUGUGGCAUGUUGAUAGUUGUACCAUGCUCAGUUGACAAGUUUGCUCAGUGUCUCAAUGUAUACAUCAUGGCAUGCACUCAGCUGGAGAGUUGGGCUUUCUAGAUAAGACCUGCCAGUCCCCAUUAAACUUCAUGCAGAGGGAAGUAUUAAAUAAGGAUGAAUCUUGGGCAAGGAGGUAGAGUUUAGCCACACACUGACUCAGAAGUGCACAGGAUUUCAUCCUUAUGGAAACCAAUAAAUAUUCUCGUAGUUGCUUGCUUGUAGGCUGAACUUUGAUAAGUGGUACUGUUGCUGCAUGUGGGACCAACCCAUGUUUCACUGUAUGAGCCAGGUCCAACAACUAGAGGGCCAAUGAAUAAGAUUUUCAAACUGGAAAACUGGAUAACUAGACGAGAAAAUUAAAAGGGGAGACAAUAUGGAGCAUACCACAGCUAGUUGCAGAACAGGAUUUUUUUUUUUUUUUUUUUUUAAUUUAUGGACUGGGAUCCUCCUUCCACAUUGAGGACAGUCCUAGAGCAUCUAAACAAUCCUUGGAAAUAUUCUGGACCAUGGGCUACAUCACUGAGUUGUUCUUUCUAUAAUGGGUAUUGCCCUUUAUCCCUUGUUCCUAAUUAAUCCAACUCAGGCACAAACAUACCUUGCUAUAAGGAUACCAAAUUAUUACAGUUUUCUUCCUUUAUGGGAAAAAUGGAGCAGCUUGCCAUAAUUCUGUCUCAAGAAAAGAUUUAUAAUACAAGUCCCCUAGCACUAGCUCAUUUUCAUGAUCAUACAUUGUUCUGGAGAGUGAUAUUUUAUUUUAAAUGCAUCGUAUCAAAAGUACAGCAGACAGAUGUAGCCUUCUCAUCUUACACAUCUUUCCACAAUGAAUCCUGGAGUCAACAUUUCUCACAGUUGUGACUAUAAAGAUACCGUUGAAAUACUCGUAAGAAAAAAAAAUACUUACAACCCCAAAGCCCAUAAGGUAUUGUUUUAAGAAGCAUUUUGAUAAUUUUGUAGAUUUUUCUCUGAUACCUAAUUAAGACAAAUUAAAAGUAUCCUAUCUCAAAACCAACUACCAAAGCCGCCCCUGGACUUGCUCCAGGCUCAUGGAUUGAAUGUGCACAGAAUGGGAUGCAGUUCCACUGAGGCAGAAGACAGAGCUGGCUGGGGCUGAUUAAACGAACACCAUAGGGAAGGCCACAGGGGAUCCUUCUAAUGUAACAGCUACAGCAGAGACAGGCAGAAGAAAGGCAGUCAGACUGACUCCUGUUAAAACAAGGAUCAGGCAGGAUGGUAAUGAAGCUGGAUUUUACAUACUGGAAUUUUUACAUGAGAUAGAGGCAAACCUGACUACAGCUUGACAGGUAAAGUUUAUGCUUGUGGUGCUGUUCUCUCUCAUGGGCCCAUUUCACUGUUGGGGUGGUAUUCUGCAAAAUGUACAGUUGUUUAAAUAUUCUGAUAUUUGUUCUCAUAAAAUACCCAUGAGUCUCUGAUUCCAUGAUUUUCUCCUUAACUCUCUCCCCCAUACAAAGUUUCUUGUCCUGAAUCACAUUUUUCUCUGAGUUUAGGAAGGCAAUUCAGCAUGACGGUGGGAAACCUGAGGUUUGAAUUUGGACAUGUCUGUGUUUAGUCCUGCCCCACACUUACUAACUAUAGAACAGAGGUAAGUUCCUCCAGCUCUGUGGGCUUCUUUUCAUUCAUCCAUAAAAUAAUGGAAAUACACCAACUGUACCUACCUCAAAGUUUUUAUGUGAACAUAAAACCAUUAAAGCAAAUGACGGGUGGUUGCUGAGCCUGACACACUAAAUUCUCAAUAAACCAUAGUUACCCUUGAUAGUAUUGCUGUUAAGGAGCCACAGGUGUCUUUAUCCAGGGCUAAUGAAGCAUUUAAAUCACUAUUGCCAGGAAUUUUUCUAAGCUUGACCAAGCAGUUUCUAAGGCUCAUCUCUUAGUUAACUAGGACUCCUGGUGGGGGAGAAACCAGCUUGUUCAGCUUCUGUGCACACUCCUCUUGCUGGUGUCAGUACUGUGUCCCUGCACUUAACUCAUGUCUCCUCACCUCUAUGCCCCAAUCAGUGAAAUCAAUGCUUCAAAGAGAUAUUUUGCCUUCAUCAUGAAGAUGCUGGGAACUCUUCAAAUUCCUUCACUGUCUAUUAGUAGCUCCCACUUGGAGACCCAGUCUUGUUUUUAGCUGUGGGAUUCUAAUCCAAUAAGACAAAUAUUUAUUGAGCUCAUGACCCUUAAGUUGAUUCAUUAGUCAGGGUUCUCCAGAGAGACAGAACCAAUAGGAUGAUGGAUAGAUAGAUAAUUGAUAGAUAGAUAGAUAGAUAGAUAUGGAAUUUAUUAAGGAAAUUGGCUCAUAUGAUUAUGAAAUAGUCAGUCCCAUGACAUAUAAUUUGUAAGCUGGAGAUCCUGGGAUGGCCAUAGUGUGGUUCAGUUCAAGUUAGAAAUCCUCAGAGCCAGGUAAGUUGAUGGUAUAAUUGUCAAUCUGAGGCCAAAGGCCUUAGAACCCAGGGGUCCACUGGUAUAAGUCCUGGAGUACCAAAGCUGGAGAACCUGAAGUUCUGAUGUCCAAGGGCAGGAUGAGGAGAGCCUCCCAGCCCCAGGAGAGAGAGAGACAGAGAGAGAGAGAGAGAGAGAGAGAGAGAGAGAAACCCUUUCUCUCCUUUUUUGUUUAAUCUGGGCUCCUAGCUGAUUAGAUGGUGCUUGCCCACAUAGAGGGUGGAUCUUUCCUACUCAGUCCAUUGACUCACAUGCCAAUCUCCUCUGGAAACACACUCACAGACUCAUCCAGAAGAAAUGCUUUACCAUUUCUCUAGGUAUUCCUUAAUUUAGUUAAGGUGACACCUAAAAUUAACCAUCACAGUUGAAUAAUGGACAUUCUUGAUGAUGAACCAGCAUUUGUUUAUCCUCUCCUGCAGGGCUUUGGAUUUUUUUGUUUGUUUGUUUCAUUUUUGUUGUUGUUUUUUAUAACUGGCCACUUUUUUUUAAUAACUGGUUGACUUUCUAGCUCUUUUUCUUUUUGGGAUAGACCAUCCAUUCACAAUUGAGACCCAGUUCAAAGUGAUUGUUCCUGUUUUAACCAAAUCUAUAUCAAUAAUAGCAGCUUCUUGUGCUACCUCUCACAGAAGACCUAGGAAUUGUUUAAUAUGUUCCUUUUCCUCUGUAUUUCCUAUAAAUUGGUAGUUAAAUACGGAGAUUUGAUUGGAUUCAGACUGAUAUUUUCCCUCAAGAAUACUUAGUAAGUGGCAUUGUGUGCCUCCAUCAGAAGAAACUUAAUAUUUGGUUUAUCUUUUAGUAGCCAAUGUUAAUAGUACUAGUGUUAGUGACCAAUGAUAAUAAUUUUCUAGAUCUAUUAAUUCAUUAAGGGUUGAGAAAGGUUGAUAUAGUCUAGUUGUAUCAUUCCAUCUUCAUUUAUUAUUUGAAAAACUUCUAUAAAGAGAGAUUAUCUCCUUACUAAUGCUUUAGUUACCUAAGGUAUUUUAUAGAGAAAAGGCAGAAUAAAUGUUUGAUCUUAUUCCCCUUCAUUUUUUUGUUUUCAAGUAAUUGAUUGGCUUCUUUGUUUUCUCUAACAUAGGCCAGUAAAGGCUUGUUGUUAGUAUUAUUAUGAAUUCUUGCGUUUAAACCUAUUUGAUAUUUGUCAGUCCAUUGGAGUUAUUAUCCUUAUUGAUGCAUAAGGUGCACCAGCUGUGGCUAAUGGGAUCCCCUUUAAGUUGGCUCCCAACAUUUUUUUUUGGCAUUGUUCCAAGAGUUUUUUUACAGCCACCUUGCUAUCUGGCAUGGCAAGAUGUUCCAGGCUUUGCUGUGCAUCUUCUGUCUAACUUUAUACCGCUUACAAGAGAUAAUAAAAGGUCACAGAGAGGGUAAGUAAAAUGGUGAAAUAAGGAUAUAAUAUGAAAACAUAAACCAGAACAAAAAGCAGUGUAGCUCUACCAGAAUCAGAUAACCUUUAAGGCAAAAAGCAAUUCCAAAAGUAAGAAGAACAUGUAGCAAUACAAAAUGUGUAUGUACCUAAUAUCAUAGCUUCAAAAUAUAUAAAGCAAAUUUGAUAGAAAUGGAAUGAGAAAUAGGCAAAUUCACAAACAUGGCAACAAUUUUUAACACAUCUAUCUCAGUAACUGAUAAAACAAGCUGAAAAUACAUCACGACAAUCUGUGCCUUAGCUGUCACAUGACAUUCUUCCUGAGCAUAUCUGUGUCUUUGUGCCCAAAUUUCCCACUUCUUGUAAGAAUACCAGUCACUAGAUUAGGGCUUUUCCUAGUCUAGCAUGACCUGAUCUUAACUUGAUUAUAUCUACAAAGACUCUAUUUCCAAAGAAGGUGAUAUUCAGUUACUGGAGUUUAGGACUUCAAUUAUCAGUGUAUCUUUUGGGUGGACACAAUGUAACUCAAAAUAAUACCUAAAGACAAAAUACAUUUUUUUAACUUUUAUUUUAAGUUUAAGGGUGCAUGUGUAGGUUUGUUACAUAGGUAAACUGUGUCAUGGAGGUUUGUUGUAUAGAUUAUUUCAUCACCCAGGUAUGAAGCCUCAUACUCAUUAGUUGAUUUUCUUGAUAUUCUCCCUCCUUCCACCCUCCACCCUCCAAAAACGUCCCAGUGUGUGCUCCCUUCUGUGUCCCUGCGUUCUCAUCAUUUAGCUCCCACUUGUAAGUGAGAACAUACGAUAUUUGGUUUUCUGUUCCUGAAUUAGUUUACCAAGGAUAAUGGCCACCAGCUCUAUCCAUGUUCCUAUAAAGGACAUGAACUCAUUAUUUUUUUAUGACUGCAUAGUAUUCCAUGGUACAUAUGUACCACAUUUUCUUUAUCCAGUCUAUUAUUGAAGGGCAUUUAGGUUGAUCCCACGUCUUUGCUAUUGUGAAUAGUGCUGCAAUGAACAUAUGCAUGCAUGUGUCUUUACAAUAGAAUAAUUUACAUUCUUUUGAGUGUAUACCCAGUAAUGGGGCUGCUGGGUCUAAUGGUAUUUCUGUCUUUAGGUCUUUGAGGAAUCACCACACUGUCUUCCACAAUGGCUGAACUAAUUUACACUCCUACCAACAGUGUAUAAGCAUUUCUUUUUCUCCACAACCUUGCCGUCAUCUGUAUUUUAUUUUAUUUUAUUUUAUAUUUUAUUUUAGAGUCUCCCUCUGUCACCAGGCUGGAGUGCAGUGUGCAAUCUCAGCUCACUGCAACCUCCACCUCCUGGGUUCAAG